rnacentral:lncRNA from 1 species
GACGAGGCUCAUAGAUGGUGGAUAACUAUCGAGAUGGGUACUGCACUGGAUCAUCUAACUUGGGACUUCUUUUUAGCAUCGUUUUAAAGGAAGUUUAUGGGCGAGUAGUAUCUCGAGGUAAGGAGAUGGGAUUUUAUGAAUCUUGCUAAGGGUACUUUGUCAGUGGAUGAGUAUGAGACUGAGUUUGUUCGGUUGAGCCAGUAUGCUCCCGAGUUGGUGCCUUUUGAGGCGAACCGUUGUAAGAUGUUCAGGUUCGGGUUGAAUUGUAACAGUCUGAUUUUGGGCCUAGUCGGAACAAUGGUUUCGGAACCACUAACCCGAGGUCAGAUAAAUUAUUUUUAAUAUUAUUUUGUGUUGUAGCAUGAUAAUAUGAGUGCAUGAAAAUUUUGGUGAAAUAAUUUUAGCGAUGCAUGCUUAAUUGCGAAAAAGGACUAAAUCACAUAAAGUGCGAAAGUAUUGUUCUACUAGCUAAAGGUGUCAAAUAGCUAUGGAACAUUAAAUUAGAAGUCUUUAUUGAGUAAAUAGACCACAAAUUUGUUAAUAGCUGAUCACAGGGAUAAAGAAAUUAUAAUGUCAAAGUUACGUGAAAUUGGGUGACUAAAUUAUUUAGAUUUAUAAUAAAAUAAGAAAAAAAAAAAGAUAUCACCUUUCAUCUUUCUCCUCUCCACCGAAAAUACUAGCAAAAAUAGGGGUUUUGGAGCUUCAAAAUUUCAGCCACUCUUUACCCAUACAAGUAAGUGAUUUUGAUGGUCUUUCUUGAUAAUUUUUGUACUUUUGGGACCCUUGUAGCAUAAUCUAGCUAAUGAGGGGACUAUUUUGCAAAAUGGACGAAAUUAUAAGGUUUUUCCAUGAGAGUGUUCAUGUUGUUUGCUGAAUUGUUUUGGAAGAAAAUGAAUCAUGGUUGUUAAACAAACAACUCUUGUGAAGUAGUUUUCAUGAAAACCCUAACUAAGGACCAUUUUGCAUCAGUUAUAAAUUAUGUGGUGAAUGUGUGAAAUAAUGGGAAUUGUAGGCUUCUUCUAGUAUAAAAGUAAUUCGGCUAGGUUGGGGUGUGAGAAAAUUUGAUAAAAAUUGAUUUACGAGCCUAGGGAUAAAAUAGUAAAUUUGUAAAAGUCUAGGGGCAAAAUGAUCAUCUUGCCAAAAUAAGAAUUAGGUUAUGCAUUGAUUAAAAUGAUGAUUAAAUUAGUGAAUUUUUAUCAUUUUAGAUCAAGAAAUACGAAAUCCAGACCUAGACCGGGGGAAGGCCAAGCAAGUGACUAAAUCCAAAUAGUCGUCCACUUUUUGUAUACCGAG